rnacentral:rRNA from 1 species
AAUCAACGCUGGCGGCGUGCCUCAGACAUGCAAGUCGAACGAUUAAAGCUCCCUUCGGGGAGUGCAUAAAGUGGCGCACGGGUGAGUAACACGUAAGUAAUCUACCCUCGAGUGGGGAAUAACGUCCGGAAACGGACGCUAAUACCGCAUAAUGCAGCGGCACCGCAAGGUGAUAGUUGUUAAAGAUUUAUCGCUUGAGGAGGAGCUUGCGGCAGUUUAGCUAGUUGGUAAGGUAAUGGCUUACCAAGGCCGCGAUCUGUAACCGGUCUAAGAGGACGGUCGGUCACACUGACACUGAAUAACGGGUCAGACUCCUACGGGAGGCAGCAGUCGGGAAUUUUGGGCAAUGGGCGAAAGCCUGACCCAGCAACGCCGCGUGAAGGAUGAAGUAUUUCGGUAUGUAAACUUCGAAAGAAUGGGAAGAAUAAAUGACGGUACCAUUUAUAAGCUCCAGCUAACUACGUGCCAGCCGCCGCAGUAAUAC